GGGGCUAUAGCUCAGCUGGGAGAGCGCCUCGCUGGCAGCGAGGAGGUCAACGGUUCGAUCCCGUUUAGCUCCACCA
rnacentral:tRNA from 1 species